rnacentral:tRNA from 1 species
GUAAGUAUAAUUUAACUAAAAUAUCAGAUUGUGAUUCUGGAAACAGGGGUUAAAACCCCCUUACUCACC